ACGGGGGGGGCAAGCGUUGUUCGGAAUUACUGGGCGUAAAGGGCUCGUAGGCUGCCAACUAAGUCAGACGUGAAAUCCCCAGGCUCAACCUGGGAACUGCGUCUGAUACUGGAUGGCUUGAAUUCGGGAGAGGGAUGCAGAAUUCCAGGUGUAGCGGUGAAAUGCGUAGAUAUCUGGAGGAAUACCGGUGGCGAAGGCGGCAUCCUGGACCGACAUUGACGCUGAGGAGCGAAAGCUAGGGGAGCAAACGGGAUUAGAUACCCCAGUAGUCC
rnacentral:rRNA from 1 species